rnacentral:lncRNA from 1 species
AAAAGGCAUCGGGGAAGAGAGGGAAGGCUGUGCCAAACAGAUGGCACACCCUGCUGUGUUUUUGAUUGAAAAAGAAAGGUAACAUUUGCAGCCACGUCAAAGAGACAGUGAUCAGCUAAACAAAUUGGUCUCCGAAGUGCAGCAUUGCUGGAGCAAACCCUGCUGCAGGGUACGAGCGAGGUUGUAUUUCACAAUAAUGCCGUGUGCGCGUCGCGGCUCUCCGAAGUGAAGGGAGAUGUCCCCCUUUCAUCUCUCCAAGGCGAGCAAAAAAAGCCUUUGUUGAGAUACACUGCAAUGCACUCUACAAAAGCGGCAGAGAAACCCAGACAAUGAGUGUGGGUUUUUUUUCUCCUCUUUAUUUUUUUCUUUUUCCUCUUGGUCAUCUCCAAAUCAUAUUCAGGGACAGCCCAGCAGGUUUUCCAUUUGGUGUAUCAGGUGUCCAGGUCUCAGAGUGAAUAAAAUUGCAGUGUGGUUUAAGAGAAAUGGGAAGGCAAUGCCAAAUAAUCUGCGAAGGGUGCCAUUGGAGGAGGAGGAGGCUGUGUGUAGCUGGAGAGGCUUACGCCUGCACGCUGCCCGCAGUACAAACAUCAAAUGUGGCAGAGGAAGGGUGCGUGGGGGGCUCCCCGCCCCUCUUUUUUUUUGGGCUCAUCUCAGCUGGCAGCCUUAUUCCGCCUCAGUAAAGACAAGGCCUUUGUGUUUCUCAGCACUGAUGCUAGGGGAGAGGAAAGCACCAAAUCAAUGCAAAAGGAUCCCACUUCUGCAGGGCGGAGCAGAACCUCAGCAGACGCACCUUUUUGCAGCACCUCAAGCUUGCCCAGUGCAAUGGCAUCCCUGAGGAGCAUCCCCCCUCAGCAUCCCACCUCAUCCCUGCCAUCCUCUGGGGCAGCACAGCCUCAACUGCAUUGCACCAAGGACAAGGAGAUUAAAUAUCCACCUGCCCAUGCACCAGAAGGCCAUGGGGUCCCAGUUGUGAUCCCCAAGGCCUCAGCCAGAAGAAUCCUCUGUGAGCCAUUUCUUUCCAAUGUAAAGUGGAGCAGGCUGCCUCUGGCUGGCUGACUGACGGUCGAGGGGCUUUUAAUGAGCAUCUCUCCUCCUGAGCAGCACUUGCUGAAUGAGCCCUCAGAUGGGAGAGAGAGUAACAGUGCUAGGCUAAAUUACCCUGAAUUAUUCUUUGCCUUUCUGCUAUUUAGAAAGGUUCAUAAACCAACAAUGCAUCCAGCAUAUAAAAGACAGAGAAAAAAAAUCGCUGCAUGAACCUAUAUUUUAAAAUAAAUUUCAUUUAUCCCAAUUGACCCUUUUCUGA